UUAUUGAGAAGGGUUAUUGAUGGCCUAAUGACUGCUUUUUUUCUUUAAUAUUGAAGAGUUUGAUCAGAUAUGGUGCGCAUUGCAAAUCACUUUUUUAAGGUCAGCGAUUUGCCAGCGGGCCUUUUACCGUCAACUUCAGGCAUACCCAUUCAAAUUUUUGGAACAGUUAUUGAUUCAAUUUUUAUUGACGUCCUUUUCCUCCAAAGUUCCGGCUUUGAAAAACAAUAACUAGCCUUACAAAAAUUUUGGUGCUGACAAGAUGAACUCUUACAGUACCCUUCUGAAUUGCUUCAGACCUUACAAGAGUGGUUAUCAUCCGCACACCUCGGGAAGCCUACUACCGGGUAAUAAUUAUGGCUACACCAUGGUUUCAGGGAAACCGGCUAGUGCUGCGGGAAAGAGAAAAAAUUUAAAAUGUUCUUAAGCGGCUGGAGCAUUUUUGAGAUGAAUGUUUAGAAGGCUGCCUUCUACUAUUCUCAAACGUCAGUUCUUCGAGAAAAGGGUACUAAUGUGCAUUCCCUCCCCGGUCUGUUUCUGAGUGUGCCUGUGUUCAAUUCGGAGAGACCUGGAAUUACCAUUUCUUCCUGAAGAUUUAAAGAUCAACUAUUUAGAAAUACCGCAAACCCUUAAUUAACA